AACGCGAAGAACCUUACCAGGUCUUGACAUCCUCGGAACUUGGCAGAGAUGCCUUGGUGCCUUCGGGAACCGAGAGACAGGUGCUGCAUGGCUGUCGUUAGCUCGUGUCGUGAGAUGUUGGGUUAAGUCCCGUAACGAGCGCAACCCUUGUCCUUAGUUGCCAGCACGUAAUGGUGGGAACUCUAAGGAGACUGCCGGUGACAAACCGGAGGAAGGUGGGGACGACGUCAAGUCAUCAUGGCCCUUACGACCUGGGCUACACACGUGCUACAAUGGAGCGCACAGAGGGCAGCAAAAGCGCGAGCUGGAGCCAAUCCCACAAAACGUUUCGUAGUCCGGAUCGGAGUCUGCAACUCGACUCCGUGAAGUCGGAAUCGCUAGUAAUCGUGGAUCAGAAUGCCACGGUGAAUACGUUCCCGGGUCUUGUACACACCG
rnacentral:rRNA from 1 species